AGAGCUGAGUUGAAGAUUGCAAGCGACCUAUUCCGAGCUGGGUGAGCAAAGGAAACUACGCAUUUAGAAUCACAGUUUACCUCGCUUCAUACUGAUCUGUGCUCUGGAGGACGUGCAGUUUCUGUUACAUGUGAUCCAGGGGGCUGCGUGUGUUGGAUUAACCGGGCUCAUUACGUCUUACAAAUUGCUUGUCAGGAGAAGGCAGCUCGGGGCAGGUUGAAAGACUGUUAUCAGCAGCACUCAACAAACAUCAGCGAACGGACACUCUCUUCUUCAUCAUAACCAAUUUGUAUUUAUGAAAGAUCCCUUGGUGCUCUUUAGUGGGCUGCAGUGAGAAGAUGUGAUUUGGAACUUUGAGAAGUUUGUGGUCAAGAAGGUGACCUGCAGAUAUUCAGUCAAAACUAAACAACCACAGCCACACUUCUCUGCGUUCCUGCUUCAUCCACUCAUUGUGCCCAGGGCUCCCCAGCAAUCUCUCCGCUCUUUAGUCUUUUGGUUUGUGUCUGCUUUCUUCUUCUAGAAUGCAGUGAAGGUGACCUUCUGGAUUUCUGAGCCUGGGCCUGGCAACUUCUGCUUCACUUCUUGGGAGCCAGCUGCUAUGUAAAGAAGACUGAGCAAGACAGCUGAAAGAUAUGUAGAGAGAGAAGCCAAGACAGUGCCCAGCUAUCCCAGUCACACCCACAGACUCACCACAUGUAUGAGUGAAGCCAUCUUGGACUUUCCAGCUGAGCUCCCAGCUAAAGGCAGCUGCAAGGGUGAUCCCAGCUGAUGCCAUGUGAAACAGAAGAACCAUCCACCUGAGCCCAGCCAAGUAUCUGAAGCUACAUAUGCCAGAGUCCCCCUGCUUGGGAUGGAGGAGAGCUGUUUUACUCCCAACACAGUCCAGACAAGGCUAACCAUGACACAGCAAGAAGGCAGCCGUCUGCAAGCCAGGGAGAUGGACCUCUCCAGAUCCAGAACAUGCCGGCAUCCUCAUCACAAACUUCUAACCUCCAGAACGAUCCUCUUCUUCCUAUAGAAUACUUCUGGUGACAAAAGAACCUAUCACUCUUCUCUGGGAUUGAGAUCUUGUGGUAAUAUUCUAAUUGUUUUUCUAAACAUUUUCUAAUUAUUUUUCUAAAUAUUUUUAUUUCAUUAUCACUGUAACUUUUAAAAACUGUUUUUAUUGUGUCUCUGGAGGAAAAUAAUUACACAGUAUACAGUACUGUAAAUAUGCUGUGAAGCUCCAAUUAUAACUAAAAAGACUGUAUAUAUGUGUGUCUGUGUGUCUGUGCGUGUGUGUGUGUGUGUGUGUGUCUGUGAUUAAAAAGAAUUAUGCCUUUCAUGGAUUGUCUUCAACAAUUACUCUGAAGCUUUUUUCACCAGUUAGUUUUUACAAUUCAGUUUUGUAUCAUGCUACAUUUUCCAGUAUAAAAUCAGUUUAUAAAAAACUUAUUUUACAAUGAACACUCAUAUGCCUACUGCCUAGAUUCUGCUUCUAAUGUUUUACUCUACUUGUCUUUAACACAUAUCUAUUCAGUUUCUUUUACUGAUCUCAUCCUUUAAUCCAUCUUAACUUUUGAUGCAUUCCAAAAUAAACUGCAGACAUCAGAACACUUCC
ensembl:lncRNA novel transcript